GGCUGGUCCGAAGGUAGUGAGUUAUCUCAACUGAUUGUUCACGGUCAGUUACAGAUCGAGCUCCUUGUUCUACCCUUUCCGACCUUCUCACUACUGCACUUUACUAGUCUUUU
ensembl:misc_RNA Y_RNA Y RNA